rnacentral:rRNA from 1 species
UACGAAGGUGGCAAGCGUUGUUCGGAAUCACUGGGCUUAAAGAGCACGUAGGCGGCCUUACAAGUACCUUGUGAAAUCCCAUGGCUCAACCAUGGAAUGGCUUGGUAUACUGUUCGGCUUGAGGCAGGUAUGGGCGUGUGGAACUCUUGGUGGAGCGGUGGAAUGCGUAGAUAUCAAGAGGAACGCCGGAGGCGAAAGCGAUGCGCUGGGCCUGUCCUGACGCUGAGGUGCGAAAGCCAGGGGAGCAAACGGG